UACGGAGGGGGCUAGCGUUGUUCGGAAUUACUGGGCGUAAAGCGCACGUAGGCGGCUUGGUAAGUUAGAGGUGAAAGCCUGGAGCUCAACUCCAGAAUUGCCUUUAAGACUGGCGAGCUAGCAGGUGAGAGAGGUGAGUGGAAUUCCGAGUGUAGAGGUGAAAUUCGUAGAUAUUCGGAAGAACAUCAGUGGCGAAGGCGGCCAUCUGGGACAACACUGACGCUGAAGCACGAAAGCGUGGGGAGCAAACAGG
rnacentral:rRNA from 1 species